rnacentral:sRNA from 1 species
AACUGUUGUAUAUAUAUUGAACGCAGCUAGAAACACAGCGUCUUUUUAACAUCCUCUUUACGUAGCGUUAUUCGUAGUUCUCCGUCCUGUAGUAUUUAAAACUUUGUUCUCUUUCCCGCUAUAUCCGCCUUUUCAAGGCUCUCUUAUUUUUUGAUCUACAGGUAUAUAUUUAUGUCUACUACAAUGACUGGCACAGUAAAAUGGUUCAACGAAACAAAAGGUUUUGGCUUCAUCGAGCAGAAAUCUGGUCCUGAUGUGUUCGCUCACUUCAGCGCGAUCGUAAGCUCUGGCUUCAAAACGUUGGCUGAAGGCCAAGCGGUUGAAUUCAUCGUGACGAAAGGUCCAAAAGGCCCUCAGGCUGAAAACAUCGUAGCGCUAUAAUCUGUCAUAGAUGAAUUGCGAUACAAAGAAGAGGUUGCCGUCAGGCAGCCUUUUUUUA